rnacentral:rRNA from 1 species
AGAGUUUGAUCCUGGCUCAGAUUGAACGCUGGCGGCAUGCUUUACACACGCAAGUCGAACGGCAGCACGGGGGCAACCCUGGUGGCGAGUGGCGAACGGGUGAGUAAUGCAUCGGAACGUAUCCUUGAGUGGGGGAUAACGCAGCGAAAGUUGUGCUAAUACCGCAUAUGCCCUACGGGGUAAAGCGGGGGAGUCGUAAGACCUCGCGCUGGUGGAUGAGCCUACGUCCGAUUAGUUAGUUGGUGGGGUAAAGGCCUACCAAGGCUACGAUCGGUAGCUGGUCUGAGAGGACGACCAGCCACACUGGGACUGAGACACGGCCCAGACUCCUACGGGAGGCGAC